rnacentral:rRNA from 1 species
UACGGAGGGUGCGAGCGUUGUCCGGAAUCACUGGGCGUAAAGGGCGCGUAGGCGGUCUGCUAAGCGUGUGGUGAAAGCUCGGGGCUCAACCCCGAGUCGGCCAUGCGAACUGGUGGACUUGAGCACUGUAGAGGCAGGUGGAAUUCCGGGUGUAGCGGUGGAAUGCGUAGAGAUCCGGAAGAACACCAGUGGCGAAGGCGGCCUGCUGGGCAGUUGCUGACGCUGAGGAGCGAAAGCAUGGGGAGCGA